AUCCAGAUGACGAGUCCCAAAUAAAACGAAGUACGCGUCCUAGAU
rfam:Schistosoma haematobium scaffold358_9, whole genome shotgun sequence.